GUCGAGAAUCUUUCACAAUGGGGGCAACCCUGAUGGAGCGACGCCGCGUGGAGGAUAAGGUCUUCGGAUUGUAAACUCCUGUCAUGCGUGAACAAGGUUGCUUGGUUAAUACCUGGGCAAAUUGAUGGUAACGCAAGAGGAAGAGACGGCUAACUCUGUGCCAACAGCCGCGGUAAUACAGAGGUCUCAAGCGUUGUUCGGAAUCACUGGGCGUAAAGGGUGCGUAGGUGGCGUGGUAAGUCAGAUGUGAAAGCCCGGGGCUCAACCUCGGAACUGCAUCCGAUACUGCCAUGCUAGAGUACUGGAGAGGUGACUAGAAUUCUCGGUGUAGCAGUGAAAUGCGUAGAUAUCGAGAGGAAUACCAAAGGCGUAGGCAGGUCACUGGACAGUUACUGACACUGAGGCACGAAGGCCAGGGGAGCGAACGGGAUUAGAAACCCCUGGUCC
rnacentral:rRNA from 1 species